CCUACGGGGGUCAGCAGUGGGGAAUAUUGCACAAUGGGGGAAACCCUGAUGCAGCAACGCCGCGUGAGUGAGGAAGUAUUUCGGUAUGUAAAGCUCUAUCAGCAGGGAAUAGAAAAGAAGGUACCUGAAAAAGAAGCCCCGGCUAACUACGUGCCAGCAGCCGCGGUAAUACGUAGGGGGCAAGCGUUAUCCGGAUUUACUGGGUGUAAAGGGAGCGGUGAAGGAAAGGCAAGGAAGAAGGUAAAACCCAAGGCUCAACCAUGGGACUGCCUUUGAAACUGGCAAACUAGAGUACGGGAGGGGUUAGAGGAAUUCCUAGUGUAGCGGUGAAAUGCGUAGAUAUUAGGAGGAACACCAGUGGCGAAGGCGUCUUACUGGACCGAAACUGACGUUGAGGCUCGAAAGCGUGGGGAGCAAACAGGAUUAGAUACCCUGGUAGUC
rnacentral:rRNA from 1 species